UACGUAGGGUGCAAGCGUUAUCCGGAAUUAUUGGGCGUAAAGAGCACGUAGGCGGUCUGUCGCGUCUGCUGUGAAAACUGGGGGCUCAACCCCCAGCCUGCAGUGGGUACGGGCAGACUAGAGUGCGGUAGGGGAGAUUGGAACUCCUGGUGUAGCGGUGGAAUGCGCAGAUAUCAGGAGGAACACCGAUGGCGAAGGCAGAUCUCUGGGCCGUAACUGACGCUGAGGAGCGAAAGCAUGGGGAGCGAACAGG
rnacentral:rRNA from 1 species